ACUCAGCGGCGCCACUGAGAGGGACGGGCGCCGGCCAUGGAGCGCACAGCAGGCAAAGAGCUGGCCCUGGCACCGCUGCAGGACUGGGGUGAAGAGACCGAGGACGGCGCGGUGUACAGUGUCUCCCUGCGGCGGCAGAGCAGUCAGCGCUGGAGCCCGGCGCAGGGCCCCGGGGGCAGCCAGGCCCCCAGCCCCAUCGUCAAUACCUUCCUCCACUAUCGAACCAGCAAGGUGCGGGUGCUGAGGGCGGCGCGCCUGGAGCGGCUGGUGGGAGAGUUGGUGUCUGGAGACCGUGAGCAGGACCCCAGCUUUGUGCCCGCCUUCCUGGCCACCUACCGGACCUUUGUACCCACUGCCAGCCUGCUGGGCUUUCUGCUGCCACCAACGCCGCCGCCCCCACCUCCCGGGCUAGAGAUCAAGAAGACGGCGGUACAAGAUCUGAGCUUCAACAAGAACCUGAGACUCUUCAGAGGCCUGCGCUGAGGAAGAGGAAGGGCUCAUGCCUCAAGGUCCCCAGCUCCUGGACUUCAGCGUGGACGAGGUGGCCGAGCAGCUGACCCUCUUGGACUUGGAGCUCUUCUCCAAGGUGAGGCCCUACGAGUGCCUGGGCUCCGUGUGGUCGCAGAGGGACCGGCCGGGGGCUGCAGGCGCCUCCCCCACUGUGCGCGCCACCGUGGCCCAGUUCAACACAGUGACCGGCUGUGUGCUGGGUUCCGUGCUCGGAGCACCGGGCUUGGCCGCCCCGCAGAGGGCGCAGCGGCUGGAGAAGUGGAUCCGCAUCGCCCAGUGCUGCCGAGAACUGCGGAACUUCUCCUCCUUGCGCGCCAUCCUGUCCGCCCUGCAAUCUAACCCCAUCUACCGGCUCAAGCGCAGCUGGGGGGCCGUGAGCCGGGAACCGCUAUCUACUUUCAGGAAACUUUCGCAGAUUUUCUCCGAUGAGAACAACCACUUCAGCAGCAGAGAGAUUCUUUUCCAGGAGGAGGCCACUGAGGGAUCCCAAGAAGAGGACAACACCCCAGGCAGCCUGCCCUCAGUGAGUGAUUACAGUUUGGGAGGGGGACAAGUGGGACCUUCAGGGAGGGGUGUGGAGGGUGAUGGGGUCAGUAAUGGCCCUGAGUGACUGGAGCUUUGGGGUCUGCAGAAACCACCCCCAGGCCCUGUCCCCUACCUUGGCACCUUCCUCACGGACCUGGUUAUGCUGGACACAGCCCUGCCGGAUAUGUUGGAGGUCUGACCCCGACCCUUGACCCCUGACCCCAGCUCCACUUGCCCCCAGCACAAUGGGCCUCCCAAUAUCCACCCUUGAUCCUACCUGUACUCCUGACACUGCCCCACACUCCCUUAUUACAGUGGGGCUCCUGACGUCCCAGCCCCUGACCUUGACCCUUGACCCUUGACCCUGGGUGCUGCAAUUCAGACAAACUUUGCCCCCAGGGGGAUCUCAUUAACUUUGA
rnacentral:sRNA from 1 species